UGGAGGGUGAUCAUGGGCCUGGGCCGGAGAACAAUGGCUCGGAGGGCGCAGGCUGCUCGGCCUCCGCCCCCUGUAAGCUGAGGGCUGUCCGCGCUGUCUUUCCGACGGCCCCACCCCCGGCUCUCUGAGCUCCGCGAGAUUGAGUACCAACUACAUUCCUGGUAUGAGCCAUUCAAGGAAUGUCCAGUCUUGUGGGCAGACAGACAUGAAAGCAAAUAAUUGCUAUUGGAAGUAUGGUAUAUCAAGAUGAACAGCGUAAAGAAUGGAUAGCUUUACUAACUGUAAGUUAGAGUUUUAAAGAUAAAUAGGCAUUUUCUACUACAAAAAUAGGGGUGGGAUGGCAAAUCUGGAUCCGAACAGAAAGGAGAUGCGGCACGGGGACAAAUAAUGUGUUGAGAAGGAUGAGUAAUAAUUACAGGUCUUAAAGUUCAAACUUAGGUUGCUGAAAAAGAUGAGGCUGGAGAAGAAAACAGGAGCCAAAUCACAAAUCGUUACCUUGGUGAGGCAAUGAGUGGACAGAUUACAAUAUAAGCUAUUCUUCUGUUGGUAAAGAACAGAUAACUUGGGGGGUGGAGGUGGGGGGGCAGAGGAGAAGGGUAAGCAGAGAGCCCACAAGGGGCCAUUGCAGAAGCCAAUAAAAGAAAACUUAAGGACCCUGUGUGAGUGGUAGUGAGCAUCCAAAGGAGAUGGAUUCCUAAAAUAUUCAAGAGGCCGUAUCAACGAUAAUUGGUUGCUAGGGGCAGCUGCCAGAUAGGAGAAGGGAAGAGGCAAUGAUGAUGCCUUGUUUUGCUUUGAGGGAGGGGCAGGAUAAGGGUGUAUCUUACCAAAUAAGGUAAGGGAGAGUUAGGAUGAGUCCUGGGAGGGGACAGACAUUUUUGCAGAAAAAAAAUGAGUUCAGUUUUGGAGUUGAUGAGUGAAGUAGGAGUGGUGCUGUCUAAUGGUGGUUGCUAUACAGGUCUAGAGCUCUAGGGAGGAGCUGGGCUGAAGUUGGAAACACCACAGGUUUACAUUACCACAUCCAAGCUGUAUGUAGUCUUACAUCAUUGAGCACAGUUUCAAAACCACUUCUCCUUUCUCCCUGCCUUUACUUGGGAAAAUUACUGAAAUACUGCAUUAAAAAACCCAAUAUGGUGAUAUGUGUCCAUCCAUAGACAAAUACUCUAAUAUUUAAUGGUCUUCUAAGGACCCUAAAGAUCAGGUUUAGCAGAAACUGGAUGUAACAGUGGUAACUAUUAAUAGUAUAGCAUCAUUAACUCAUAAAAUGAAAUAUCUAUAUUUAUAUUUUAAUAUUUUAAUUUUUUUCUUUUUUAUUCUGUAGGAAUUGCUCCAUUCCAAUAAAAUAUUUUAAAUUUAAUCAUUGAAAACAGUUAAGCUGGCCAUAGGCUAAGGUUGAGGAUGGUGGGUUGCACAAAUACCUGCUGAAUGGAGAACUAGAAGGAGGAUGACUUCAAGAAGAGUGAGCAAUAGGAACGCAAUGAAAGACAACCUCAAAUUCAUUAGUCAGUCUGUCUCAGCUGCUUUUUGGUGGCUCACAGCUAUGCUAACCUAGCAUAAAGCAGUCAGAAAUAGAAUACUUCAUUUUGAGCAGAGCUUCAGAAAACCACAAAUAGUAAAAGCCCUAUAAAUAAUAGCUACAGCUGCAAGCCAAAGACUAAUUCUUAGUUUUUAACUCUAUAUCCCUGUAGAGCAGCAUUUUUGAACACGCAAAAAAAUGAGAAACUCAUUCACUUACAUCUUAGAUUAUUUAAAUACAGUAUUCUCAAUUUGUCUAGGAUAAAAAAGCAUUUAGGUGUAUUGAACAACCAUAUAAUGGAUAAUAUACUGAACAGGAAAUGAGAAUAAUUAGGUUGAGUCCCUUUUUUGUCAGUUGUUCACCGUAUGACCCUAGCAGUGUCACUUAACCUCUCUAUGCCCUAGUUUCUCUGACUGUAAAGUAGAGAUAAUAAUAACUUUCUAUCAGCUGCCUCUCAGAGAUAUAGGAAAUAACAAAUUAAUGCUAUGAAAGCUCUUUGAGGUACUUGGAUGAAAGAGCAUAAUUGUAAGUACAUAUUAUUAAUAAUUAGCACUAAUAUCCAGUAGCACUCAUGAGCAUUCCUGACUUUGCUGCCUGGAUUACUCAAAGAACAUGAAGGAUCCUGUUUUGAAAUACACUUAGAUCUUUUUUCUUGUGAAUUGACUGUUUACUAUUUAUGAUCAAAUCUUGUGUAUUAACAAAUAUAGUUAAUGAAAGAGGGAAGUAAAAAGAAGUUUUGGUAACCACAACUUUUAUAUUCAUGCUACUCAUAGCUAAUAUAUGCUUUGGGGGAAAAUACAGGGUAGAUAGGGAUUUGCCAGAAGCAUGUUUUAGAAUUAAUGAUUAGUCUACUCCAGUCAGUUAACUGGAAUUUUGUAUUAAAAACAUUACUCAUGUCACCAUAGAAUAAUACAGUCCCUAUAGAAUUUAUAGACAGUUACAUAUUUGACACAAUUAAGUUGAACAUUCCUAUGAGACUCUGUCAUUCUCAUCACUGUUUAAUCAGAAACAUGUAAUGAAAUAUAUAGACUUAUGAAGUUUUGUCCAAUAUCUAUCCCUAAAGUAGAUAAAAAUUUUUUCCAUUAAAUUGGUGACUUCAGUAUUUCCUUCAGAAAGGUGUAUGCAUAAUGUAAACAUUUAAAUAUAUUCGUGACUACAUAAUGUGCAUAUUUAUUUUUAUACACUUGCUUAUAUACCAAUUUAUAAAAUUAUAAUGUAUAUUAACUAUACAUCUGGGAACAACAAUGACAAACAAGCCCUCUUUGUGUUUUAGGGCCAGAUAAAAAGGUAAUUAGUUAAUAGCUAUUUGUCACCACUGGUGAAAAAUCAACUCAAAGACAUGUUUUAUUAUUUAUUAGAGUUAUGAGCAUUAUCUAUAAGAUUCAUGACACCAUGACUAGGUGUGGUGGCUCACACCUGUAAUCCCAGCACUUUGGGAGGCCGAGGCAUGUAGAUCGCUUGAAUACAGGAGUUAAAGACCAGCUUGGGCAACACAGGUAGUCCUCAUCUCUAUUAAAAAAAAAUUAAAAAAAAAUAAAACUAGGCAGGCAUAGUGGCAUUCACCUGUGGUCCCAGUUACUUAGGAGGCUGAGGUGGAUCCCUUCAACCCAGGAGAUCGAGGCUACAGUGCCUGUGAUCAUUAAACUGUACUCCAGCCUGGGCAACAAAAUGAAACGCUGUCUCAAAAAAGAAAAAAAAAUUCCGUGACACCUUGACAUUGGUACUAUUUCAUUUUGUUUUCACAAUUUUGUGAGAUACAAAUUGUUGAAAGAAAUAGGCUCAGAGUGCUGAAAGACUAGCGCUCUGAGACUAGUUUUUAAAGACUUAAAAAUUCACUACAAUUGUCAAGUAACAUACCCAAACCCACAUUGUGAGAUUCUCAAAUAUAUUGUUUCUUUUAGUACUUUAUACCAGGAUCACCAGCUUGAUAUGACUGUUAUUCCAGAAUGUAUUUAUAAUAUGGACAUUUCUGGCUUAUUAUUGAUUGCCUGCAGCAUCUCCAAAAUUCUGCUAAACUUACAUUUUUAAAACUGAAAACUGCAAUUCUUAUGUUUAUGGCUGUAUCUUUACCAGCUUGAAGACAGGUACUGACCUAAGGGCCAAGAUACAAAGUCAAGUGAGAGACAGAGUAUAUCCUCAAGGAGCAGAUUGUCUAAUGGGGAAGAGAGGCUAGAAACUCACCCAUGUUUUAUGCCACCACAGACUUUGAAUAUGUACAAGGGCAUCUCCAAUCAUUGUACUUGGGAGGAGGAGAUGAAGGCACCAUUUCCCUCUUUAUCUGCAAUUGAGUAGUUACUGAGAGAGUUGUUUAAAGAGCUCUUUAUUCAUUCAUUCAGAUAUUAUUCAUUGUUCAAAAAUAUAUAAUUUGAUAUGUAAAUUAUAUCUUAAUAAAACUGUUUUUUAAAAGCCA